GACGAACGCUGGCGGCGUGCUUAACACAUGCAAGUCGAGCGGUAAGGCCCUUUCGGGGGUACGACGAGCGGCGAACGGGUGAGUAACACGUGGGUGACCUGCCCUCAGCUCUGGGAUAAGCCCGGGAAACUGGGUCUAAUACCGGAUAUGACUCCAUGACGCAUGUUGUGGGGUGGAAAGCCUUGUGCGGCUGAGGAUGGGCCCGCGGCCUAUCAGCUUGUUGGUGGGGUGAUGGCCUACCAAGGCGACGACGGGUAGCCGGCCUGAGAGGGCGACCGGCCACACUGGGACUGAGACACGGCCCAGACUCCUACGGGAGGCAGCA
rnacentral:rRNA from 1 species